UGAGGGAAAGGCGAAAAGAACCCCGGCGAGGGGAGUGAAAAAGAACCUGAAACCGUGUACGUACAAGCAGUGGGAGCCCCACCACUAAGCCAGUGGUGAACUCCACAUACGCAUCCUUUGCUGAGGAUACGGUUAACGGAGCGAAAGCGACGUUCAACCUCAAAAGAAGCAGAGGGGGCUUAGUGGUGGGGUGACUGCGUACCUUUUGUAUAAUGGGUCAGCGACUUAUAUUCUGUAGCAAGGUUAACCGUAUAGGGGAGCCGCAGG
rnacentral:rRNA from 1 species